rnacentral:lncRNA from 10 species
AAGAAACCAACAUUGUUACAUUACCUUAGACUAAACUCCAGCCCUGCCCACAGCCCCCGGCUGCCCACGCACUGUCCGGGAAACCAGCAGCAAAUAGGCGGAAGAACCAUCCACUGCCUGCUCCCCAGGGCUGCAGCAAGCAAGGUGGAGCCAGAGACCACCACCAGGACACAAUUGGAGAAACCGGUUAUUUUACCAAAGCUUUGGAAUGGUGUACUUUCCCUUAAGGAAUCAAAUAUGACUUAUGGAAACAAUAAAAGUCCCUUGGGAAAACUGGCCUCAUACCUUGUCUACACAGUUUCUGUACAGGAUUCCUGACCUGUGAGGAGGCAAUCCUGAGAUUCUUGGCGGCCAUGGCAAAAAGAGAAGCCCAAGGGAUUCCCUAACUUUUCUGAUCCAAUGCAG